rnacentral:rRNA from 1 species
CACGUAGGGUGCGAGCGUUGUCCGGAAUUAUUGGGCGUAAAGAGCUCGUAGGCGGUGUGUCGCGUCGGCCGUGAAAACCUGCAGCUUAACUGUGGGCUUGCGGUCGAUACGGGCAUCACUGGAGUUCGGUAGGGGAGAACGGAAUUCCCGGUGUAGCGGUGAAAUGCGCAGAUAUCGGGAGGAACACCGGUGGCGAAGGCGGCCUCUGGCUCGCAACUGACGCUGUAGCGCGAAAGCGAUGGGGAGCGAACGGGG